CAUCAUAUUGAAAAUUCUGUUUUACUUAUUACAUAAAUGCUAGUAGAGCUUUUUUAUAUUUUCAUGUUAUUUUAGGUUCAGAUUUUAUGCCUUGUGCUUUUGCAUUGAUGUUCACCAACUAGAGACAACCGAAAUUACACCUGCAGUCACAGUCCAAAGUUGGGUCCACUUUCCUCUGUGGAGCCAAAGAAAGCAGACACUGGGGAGCCCUGUGAGUUGUGCCUCUACCAAUAUUCUGAUAUCUAUAAUCUGAUGAAACACUGUUUCUG
rnacentral:lncRNA from 1 species